rnacentral:rRNA from 1 species
GAUGAACGCUGGCGGCGUGCCUAAUACAUGCAAGUUGAGCGAUGAAGAUUGGUGCUUGCACCAAUUUGAAGAGCAGCGAACGGGUGAGUAACGCGUGGGGAAUCUGCCUUUGAGCGGGGGACAACAUUUGGAAACGAAUGCUAAUACCGCAUAACAACUUUAAACAUAAGUUUUAAGUUUGAAAGAUGCAAUUGCAUCACUCAAAGAUGAUCCCGCGUUGUAUUAGCUAGUUGGUGAGGUAAAGGCUCACCAAGGCGAUGAUACAUAGCCGACCUGAGAGGGUGAUCGGCCACAUUGGGACUGAGACACGGCCCAAACUCCUACGGGAGGCAGCAGUAGGGAAUCUUCGGCAAUGGACGAAAGUCUGGCCGAGCAACGCCGCGUGAGGGAAGAAGGUUUUCGGAUCGUAAAACUCUGUUGGUAGAGAAGAACGUUGGUGAGAGUGGAAAGCUCAUCAAGUGACGGUAACUACCCAGAAAGGGACGGCUAACUACGUG